rnacentral:rRNA from 1 species
GACAGAGGUGCCGAGCGUUAGGCGGAAUCACUGGGCUUAAAGCGUGUGUAGGCGGCCAACUAAGUCAGACGUGAAAUCCCUCGGCUUAACCGGGGAACUGCAUCUGAUACUGGAUGGCUUGAGUUCGGGAGAGGGAUGCGGAAUUCCAGGUGUAGCGGUGAAAUGCGUAGAUAUCUGGAGGAACACCGGUGGCGAAGGCGGCAUCCUGGACCGACACUGACGCUGAGGAGCGAAAGCCAGGGGAGCAAACGGG